UACGAAGGGGGCUAGCGUUGUUCGGAAUUACUGGGCGUAAAGGGCGCGUAGGCGGCUCUGUAAGUCUGAUGUGAAAGACCUGGGCUUAACCUGGGAACUGCAUUGGAUACUAUAGAGCUAGAGGGUGUGAGAGGAAAGUGGAAUGACGAGUGUAGAGGUGAAAUUCGUAGAUAUUCGUUGGAACACCAGAGGCGAAGGCGGCUUUCUGGCACACUACUGACGCUAAGGCGCGAAAGCGUGGGGAGCAAACAGG
rnacentral:rRNA from 1 species